CCUACGGGAGGCAGCAGUAGGGAAUAUUGCUCAAUGGGGGAAACCCUGAAGCAGCAACGUCGCGUGGAGGAUGAAGGUCCUCGGAUUGUAAACUCCUUUUGUUAGAGAAGAUAAUGACGGUACCUAACGAAUAAGCACCGGCUAACUCCGUGCCAGCAGCCGCGGCAAUACGGCGGGUGCAAGCGUUACUCGGAAUCACUGGGCGUAAAGAGCGCGUAGGCGGGAUAGCAAGUCAGAUGUGAAAUCCUAUGGCUUAACCAUAGAACUGCAUUUGAAACUGGUAUUCUUGAGUAUGGGAGAGGUAGGUGGAAUUCUUGGUGUAGGGGUAAAAUCCGUAGAGAUCAAGAGGAAUACUCAUUGCGAAGGCGACCUACUAGAACAUAACUGACGCUGAUGCGCGAAAGCGUGGGGAGCAAACAGGAUUAGAUACCCCUGUAGUC
rnacentral:rRNA from 1 species